rnacentral:lncRNA from 1 species
GAAACUUUAUCUUAAUUUUAUAUUUAUUCAAAAGACUAAUUUACAAUCACUGUGUUCUAAUGUUGGCAAAGAACCUUAUUAUUUCUCUAAUGGAAUUGAUCUAUAAAUUUUCAUACUUCAAAAGCCUUAAUAAAUAAAUAUUAAUCAGAGGAUCUCACAAAAACUGUGACUGAAAAAUAUACAUACGAGUUCAGCCAAGAAAAAAAUGAGUGUAAUCAGACUGCUACUCAAUUUUAAUAUUGGAGAACAAAGAAGGUAAAUAGCUAAUCUAUGACAAAUGAGGAUUUACUCAUUGCCAAAAUACAAUGGAUCAUUUGUUGUAUACUCAAAAAAGUCAGAUCUUAAUGGAACUUAAUAAUAUUGGCUUUUCCA